GCAGUCGUACGCGAAAGCGGCCUUCGGGUCGUAAGUAGAGUGGCAAACGGGUGAGUAUCGCGUGGGUGACCUGCCUUCGAGUGGGGGAUAACCUUCCGAAAGGGGGGCUAAUACCGCAUAACAUCCUACCCUUGGAUGGGUGGUGAUCAAAGCCGGGGAUCGCAAGACCUGGCGCUUGUAGAGGGACCCGCGUCCGAUUAGCUUGUUGGUGGGGUAACGGCCUACCAAGGCGACGAUCGGUAGCCGGCCUGAGAGGGCGGACGGCCACACUGGGACUGAGACACGGCCCAGACUCCUACGGGAGGCAGCAGUGGGGAAUUGUUCGCAAUGGGCGCAAGCCUGACGACGCAACGCCGCGUGGAGGACGAAGAUCUUCGGGUUGUAAACUCCUGUCGAGCGGGACGAACAGCGCUCGGGUUAAUACCCCGGACGCCUGACGGUACCGCUAAAGGAAGCCCCGGCUAACUCCGUGCCAGCAGCCGCGGUAAUACGGGGGGGGCAAGCGUUGUUCGGAAUUACUGGGCGUAAAGGGCUCGUAGGCGGCCAGCCAAGUCGGACGUGAAAUCCCUCGGCUUAACCGGGGAACUGCGUCCGAUACUGGUUAGCUUGAAGCCGGGAGAGGGAUGCGGAAUUCCAGGUGUAGCGGUGAAAUGCGUAGAUAUCUGGAGGAACACCGGUGGCGAAGGCGGCAUCCUGGACCGGUCUUGACGCUGAGGAGCGAAAGCUAGGGGAGCAAACGGGAUUAGAUACCCCGGUAGUCCUAGCCCUAAACGAUGAAUGCUUGGUGUGGCGGGUAUCGAUCCCUGCCGUGCCGGAGCUAACGCGUUAAGCAUUCCGCCUGGGGAGUA
rnacentral:rRNA from 1 species